rnacentral:lncRNA from 1 species
GUCUCUUAGGAUCCUUUGUAUUUCUGUGAUAUCUGUUGUUACUUCUCCUUUUUCAUUUCUAAUUUUAUUGAUUUGAGUCCUCUUUUUUGCUUGAUAAGUCUGGCUAGGGGUUUAUCAAUUUUGUUGAUCUUUUCAAAGAACCAGCUUUUCGUUUCAUUGAUCUUUUCUAUGGUUUUCUUUGUUUCUAUUUCAUUGAUUUCUGCUCUGAUCUUUAUUAUGGCUUUCCUUCUACUAACUUUAGGUCUUGUCUGUUCUCUCUCUAGCUGCUUUAGAUGUGAAGUUAGCUUGUUUAUUUGCGCUUUUUCUUGUUUCCUGAGGUGGGCUUGUAUUGCUAUAAACUUUCCUCUUAGAAUGGCUUUUGCUGCAUCCCAUAGGUUUUGGAGUGUCGUAUCUUUGUUGUCAUUUGCUUGUAGGUAUUUUUAAAUUUCCUCUUUGAUUUCUUCAGUGAUCCACUGGUUGUUUAGUAGCAUGUUAUUUAGUCUCCACGUGUUUGUGUUUUUUGCAGAUUUUUUCUUGUUGUUGGUUUCCAGUUGUAUAGCAUUGUGGUCAGAAAAGAUGCUUGAUAUGAUUUCAAUUUUCUUAAAGUUAUCAAGGUUGGAUUUGUAGCCCAGGAUGUGAUCAAUCUUAGAGAAUGUUCCAUGUGCACUUGAGAAGAAUGUGUAUUUUGUUGCUUUGGGAUGGAAUAUCCCAUAAAUAUCUAUUAAGUCCAUCUGGUCUAAUGCUUUAUUCAGGGCCUGUGUUUCCUUAUUGAUUUUCUGUCUGGAUGCUCUGUCCAUUGCAGUAAAUGGGGUGUUAAAUUCCCCCACUAUUAUUGUGUUAUUGUCGACUUCUCCUUUUAAGGUUGUUAGCAGUUGCCUUAUAUAUUGUGGUGAACCUAUGUUGGGUGUGUAGAUAUUUAAAAUUGGUAUAUCUUCUUCUUGGAUUGAUCCUUUGAUGAUUAUGUAGUGACCUUCCUUGUCCCUUAAAAUAUUCUUCAUUUUAAAGUCUAUUUUGUCUGAUAUGAGUAUUGCUACUCCAGCUUUCUUUUGAUUCCCUUUUGCAUGGAAUAUUUUCUUCACUUUCAAUUUGUAUGUGUCCCAAGAAGUGAAGUGGGUCUCUUGAAGACAACAUAUAAAUGGGUCUUGUUUUUGUAGCCAUUCAGCAAGUCUUUAUCUUUCAGUUGGGGCAUUUAGUCCAUGAACAUUUAAGGUAACUAUUGAUAUGUAUGUCCUUAUUGUCAUUUUUAUUAAUUGCUUUGGAUUUGUUUUUGUUGGUCUUUUUUCUUCUUCUGUUCUCUCCUCUUGUGGUUUGAUGACUAUCGUUAGUCUUGUACUUGAGUUGAUUUUUCUUAUUUGUUUGUGUAUUGACUGUAGAUUUUUGGUUUGCAGUUAUUCUGAAGUUUUGAUAUAAGACUCUCUGUGUAUACAAGAUUGUUUUGUUGGUCUCUUAAUUGCAAGUGCAUCUCCAGUGUCCUGCAUUUGUACCCUUCUCUUAUCACGAUUUCUGAUUUUAGUGGUAUAAUUGUACAUGGAUGAUUUCGUAUCUUUACUGUAUAUAUACCUUUACUGGUGAGCCUUGUCCUUUAUGAUAUUUUUGUUUCUGGUUGCAGCCUUUUCUUUUCUGUCUAGAGAAUUCCCUUUAGUAUUUGUUGUAAGGCAAGUUUAGUGUUGCUGAAUUCUCUUAGCCUUUGCUUAUCUGUGAAGCUUUUGAUAUCUCCUUCCAAUCUGAAUGAGAGCCUUGCUGGGUAAUGUAAUCUUGGUUGGAAGUUUUUUCCUUUCAUCACAUUAAGUAUAUCAUGCCACUCCCUUCUGGCCUGCAGAGUUUCUGCUGAAAAAUCUGCCAAUAACCUUAUUGGGGUUCCUUUAUGUGUUAUUUGUUUCUUUUCCCUAGCUGCUCUCAAGAUUUUCUCUUUAAUUUUUGUCCAUUUGAUUAAUAUGUGUCUCGGGGUAUUCCUCCUUGGGUUUAUUUUGUAUGGUACUGUACGUUGUGCUUCCUGGAUUUGAGUGAGUGGUUCCUUUCCCAUGUUAGGGAAGUUUUCGGCUAUUAUCUCUUGGAAUAUUUUUUUGUUCCCCUCUCUCUCUAUUCUCCUUUUAGCACCCCUAUAAUAUGGAUGUUGGGGCAUUUAACAUUCUCGCAGAGUUCUCUGAGACUCUCUUCAUUUGUUUUAAAUCUUUUUUCUCUUUUCUGUUCUGCAUCUGUAAUGUCCACUAAUCUGUCUUCCACCUCGCUUAUUCGUUCUUCUGCCUCCUGUAAUCUGCUGUUAGCUGUAUUUUUUAUUUCAGUUAUUGUAUUUUGCAUUCUCUUCUUGUUUUAUAUCUUACAUCUCUUUGCUCAGUAUUUCCUGUAAAUUAUCCAUCUUUGCCUCCAGUUUAUUUCCAGUGUCUUGCAUCUUCUUCAGCAUCAACAGUCUAAAGUCUUUUUACUGGAGGCUGAGAAUCUCAUCACUUAGCUGAUUUUCUGGGGGUUUUUCUUCCUCCCUCAUCUGAGUUAUAGUUCUCUGUCUUUUCAUAUUUAUAGGUUUUUGGUGUGGUGACCUUUUUGCAGAUAAUACAGUUGUAGCCCCUCUUACUUCUGAUAUCUGCCCCCCUUGUGGCUGAAGUCAGUAUGGGGGCUUGCUGUAGGCUUCCUGAUGGGAGGGGCUGAUGCCUGCCCACUGGUAGGUGGAGCUGAUUCCUAUCCCUCUGGUGGGUGGGGCUUUGCCUCUGGGUGAGAUUAGAGGCAGCUGUGUGCUUGGAGAGUCUGUAGGCAGCCUGUUUACUGAGGGGCAUGGCUGUAAUCCCACCUGGAUUGUUGUUUGCCCUGGGACUUCUCAGCACUGUCUGAUGAGUGGGGUCAGAUUUUCCCAAAAUGGCUACCCCCAGAGAAAGGCAUGCUGUGGAAUAUUCCUGAGAGCUUUGCUUCCAAUGUCCUUCCCCCACAACAAGCCAUAUUCACCCGUUUUCCUAGGAGGUCCUCCAAGAACUGUGGUCAGGUUUGACCCAGAUUCCUAUGGAGACUUUGCUUUGCCCUAGGACCCAGUGCACGUGAAAGUCUGUGUGCCCCUUUUAAGAAUGGGGUCUCCAUUUCCCCCAGUCCUGUGGAGCUCCUGCACACAAGCCCCACUGGCCUUCAAUGCCACAUGCUCCGCGGCUCUUUCUCCCAGGGCCAGAUUCCCACACAUGGGAGUUUGACGUGGGGCUCAGAACUCUCACUCCUGUAGGUGAGUCUCUGCAUACCAGUUACUUUCCAGUCUGUGGGGCUUCCCACCUGGGAGGUAUGGGGUUGCUUAUACCACGUAAUAUCCCCUCCAACAUCUUGAUGUGGCCUCCUCUUUGUCUUUUGGGGUAGGAUAUCUUUUUGAAAGUUUCCAGUGCAUUUGGUUGAAGAUUGCUCAGCAUUUGGUUGUAAAUUUUGUUUUUUUUUAGGAAAGAAGUUGAGCUCCAGUCCUUCUGUUCUGCCAUCUUAAUCCCCUCCCUCAAUCUGACUUUGAAAUGAAUAUAUAUGCCAGUUCUUUUUCUUUCCUUUCCUUAUCUCAUUCUCUUACUAUCUAGCACAUGUGAACAGUGGCUAACUUUAUAUUUCACUAUUUAGUUUACAGAAUGUCAGUGGAGAUCUCUCUCUCUCUAGAUGAGGAACUUCACACAAAGAUGGAUAAAGUGACAUGUGGGGUUUGAAUCCUCCACUGGGGAGAGUUUUGGUGCACUGCUUGUUAUAGAAGGGAUCUAGCAUCAAGGAACAUGAUUGAUAUUUUUUAAACAGAAGUUUUAAAUACAGCUGUGUUAAUAAAUGCCAAAUUGAUGAUGAUGAGUGGACUCAAAGUGGUUUGUACUCUGUUAACUCAUUAAGCUAGAAUUCUGUUUCCCAGUAUUUUUUUCCCCGUAUGAUUCUGGGUUAAAGUUGGCCAAGAGAGGAAUUUGUGUAAUAUUUGGAAGGCAGAAUUAGCAAAGCCAUUACUCUGUGAAGGUCAUCAUGCUUAGAUGUGGUAACAGCAGAGAGAAUAGUGGGUCCAAAUUGUCCUCACUCUCCUCUGCCAUGUUUCUGGUUCUUCUUCCAAAUGGCCAGAUUUUACUCCUAAUUGCUGACCCUGUUGACAAACAGUGGUCCCCGGGUUACCAGCAGAUGCUUGGCAGAAUACUGUCAAGGCAGUUGCUACCCAGGUACAGCUUCCUAUAGACAUUCCCAGAAGCCUUUCCUCCUCAGUCUCAUUGUGGCAGUUGGACAAGGUGGAUUCUUGGAUUAUCUGACUGAUGACUCCUCUGAUUCUCCAACUUCUCUCCUAAACCUUCAUUUCCCCAGCUUCUCCUACAACUACCUAAGAUAUAAUUCCUAUAAUAAAUCCCUUUCUCAUAUGUGAUAGUGAUUCAUUUUCCCUCAUCAAAACUUGACUAGUAUGAAAAGGAGAAAGUCCUGAUGGAUUUUGAGCCUGUUCUAUCUGCUUCUGAGGCCCAGUUACAAUCUUAUGCUUCCUGUAUUUAGUUGCUUACCCAUUAUUUGAAAUCUAUUUACGAAUAGUGUAAUUUUUCCUAAGCACACUUGAGUUAGUUUCCAGGUAUUUAUGAUUAAAAAAAAACUGUAACCAAUAUUGUAUGGCAAUGUUAAUUAUGGAUCUCUUGUAUUUCUUCAUGCUUGUAAGCAGAGACACAGAAUGCCAAACUCUUUUUAAGCAAAUAGUCCUGAAAUAUAUUGUGGCUUCCUAUGGUGUAAAGGGUAGGCAUGCUUACUGCCCAUUAUAAAAUACUUGGUUCCCCAAACUCAGAGUCACUUUCCUGUUAUGCAGUCCACCAGGUGGGUGUUAUUUGGGCCUCUUCUCACUGCCCUGUAAGAACUAGGAUCAGGAAAUGAUGCAAAAAUGAAGAUACUCUGCUAUUGCUAUUGCUAUGAAUAAUAAACUGUCCUUUGUCACUGACCUAAGAGACAUGAAACUGUUGCAAGUUAACUUGUCAGCUGGUACAGAUGGUGAAAAAUCCUUCACAGUUCUUGAAAAUAAGAUUAUUUUAGACUUGUAAUUUCACAUGUAAUACUCAUUAGGCUUUUCAAAGAGAACAACAAAUAUACCUAUGAUACAAAGUAACAUUUUAAUAAACAAGUAAAUGUAUUAGGUUGUGAAAAUUAUCAAUUUAUUAUAUCACUACAGUGUAAAAAUUACUUUAAGUGUGAAGAUCUCUUCUCAUUUAUAAUGACUACGAAUUUGGUUAGGAUGCCUCAGUUAUAGCACAAGAAACAAAUUCUUGUUUUAUACAGAAAGCAUAAUUUAAAAAUUACAAGGAUACUUUACCAAAGCUAAGGAAAAAAGUUAAAAACAGGCCUUGAGAAUGAUGGCCAGUAAAAGAAGUCAAAUCUUCUUAGCUCAAGCCAAAAAGGGAAUUUAUAGUUAGGAUACAAGUGUGCCUUACUAAGCAAGAGCAGGAUUCAUGGAAUAAGGGAAUGUAGCACUGUGAGAAAGCCAAGAAUCACAUUCUCCUGACCUCUUAUAUCUUUUCUUCACUUUGUAAAUAUUUCACUGCUCUCUCUCACUGCAGAUUUGCUGUUUUUUUCUUCCUAAACCACAAGGUUGGACAUGGCAGCCCUAUAGCACAUAUAUACACCAUGUGUAAGUUUCUGGGCCAAGGCUCCAAUAAGCACUACAGCAGCAACCCAGACUGCAGCAGUGACAAUA